GGGAGGGGAGAGGAGGAAGAAGUGUUCCAAGUGCAGGUAGCCUGUCACGGGUCAUCCACGCCGGACGGAAACGAAGGUGGAGAGGCUCCAAGAGAAAUCCGGAGGAGGUGAGGGAAGAGGAAGUCCCGGGCGGCCUGGAGGUCCUGGAAGUGGCAGAACUGGACAAUGGAACAAGCCAUGGCUCAGGGGCGCCUGCCUCGGGCGCUCGCCACCAACCCCCCACCACGCCCUGCUCCUCAGGCUCCCCGCGGCCACCAGCGCCGAGCCUGAGCAGCGCCGGACACGCAGGGGCGGGGCCACCACGCCGGAAGUCAUCGGCGCGCUCCGCCCACCCUGCCGCCCGGCGCAGGCGCACCGCGACCCAGGCGGCCGGGAGACCGCGUCACGUGACCUGCGGCGGCCGGAGCGGCCGACGUGGAAGUGGAGUUUGCCGGCCGACUGCCCUCCGCCGGGAAUCAAGCUUUUCAUUCACUUUCUGGCUUCUAGCCAGAGAUGAUCUCACUGGUCUUUGCCCGCGGGAGUGUGUGUGAUGGGAUGGAAGCAGAGCCAGGACUCUUUGAAACCAAUCCGAUUAAUGGCCUGAUGCUGGCACGGACCUGAUAGUUGAUCGAGAAUAAUCCUUGUCCAGUGGGAAACAGUGUCCUGCAAGGAUCGGAUUCGAUGAAAUUAAUUUAUUUUCCAGAAAUCAGCCCGGACCAAGCUAGGUCUGAAUGCGCCGCCUAUAUACCCAUAGUACUACGCACGCCUGAGACUGUGCAUUGCUCUUCCGCUGUCGUCACUCACUUGCUUCUUCAUUCAUCCCUUCAUCCAUUCAGCAAACUCUUGCGGCUUGUCUGCGCUACACCGGCCACUCAAGGCGCGAAGUAUAACGCACAGGACACAAGAGAUGAAACGCUAUUCUCAGUGGAGCUAAAAUUCAAGUGAAAAGUAGGCAGGUAUCUGGCCAUCCAACUGAAAUUGUGAUAAUACUAAGAAGGAAAGAAGUACAAAGUGCUGGGACCGAGCACACUAGGGGGAACUUACGUGGUUCUUUUGUGCUUGUUCUGGGUGGAAGAGAGUUUCCAACAACUGGAACAGACUAUUUAACUGUAAACCUCCGGUGGUUGGGAUAUUGUCUGACACCACUUUAUAUUCAGUAUGCCUGGCAUUGGGCCUGGCGUAUAUAUAGUGUUUACUAAAUGCUGCAGAACCAGGGACAUAGCUCAUCUGGUAGGACACUUGUCUGCCCAUGUGAACGACCCAGGUUUAAGCCCCUUGGCACAGCAUACAGCAGUGCUAGAGCUCCGAAGAAAGUUUCAGUGGUGUGAAACUCUCGCUCUGUCUCCAUCUGAAAAAGGGAGCAGAAGCAGUGAAAUCGUGUAUGCAUCAGGUCCCUGAGACACACAUACCCACAAAUUUGCUAAAGGGGUAACAUUGAAUGUGUAUGUUAAGUAAACCCAAUAACCUGCUUCUUUUCAAA